UCUUCAGGAUGAACACAAAAUCUUUUUAUUUCUAAUAUUUUUUAUAUUUGUUAUCUUUUGAUUGAUUCAUGUGUCGUGUAAUAUUCUUGUAGGUUGACAAGUUGUGGCAUCUCGAGCAUGCCUCAUAGGAGAGCAGAAUGAAGUCCACUGUACUGUUGGGAAUAGUAGCAGAUGUGCCAUUAUUCUAUUGUGCAAUUUUGUUCGUUUUUGCUAUAUUCCUGUGUAAGGAAAUGUAUUCAUGAGAUGAUUUAUUGUGUUAUGUAAACCUGGGAUAUGUAUUUUGUGAUGUUAUAUGAUGGAUGAUUUUAAUUCGAUUUGGAGUAUUUUUGAUUUGAAUAUGAAAA
rnacentral:lncRNA from 1 species